AUUGAACGCUGGCGGCAUGCUUUACACAUGCAAGUCGAACGGCAGCGCGGGCUUCGGCCUGGCGGCGAGUGGCGAACGGGUGAGUAAUACAUCGGAACGUGCCCAGUAGUGGGGGAUAGCUCGGCGAAAGCCGGAUUAAUACCGCAUACGACCUGAGGGUGAAAGCGGGGGAUCUUCGGACCUCGCGCUAUUGGAGCGGCCGAUGGCAGAUUAGCUAGUUGGUGGGGUAAAGGCCUACCAAGGCGACGAUCUGUAGCUGGUCUGAGAGGACGACCAGCCACACUGGGACUGAGACACGGCCCAGACUCCUACGGGAGGCAGCAGUGGGGAAUUUUGGACAAUGGGCGAAAGCCUGAUCCAGCAAUGCCGCGUGUGUGAUGAAGGCCUUCGGGUUGUAAAGCACUUUUGGCGGGAACGAAAAGGACUGUGCCAAUACCACGGUUCGAGGACGGUACCCGCAGAAUAAGCACCGGCGAACUACGU
rnacentral:rRNA from 1 species